rnacentral:rRNA from 1 species
CCUGGCUCAGGAUGAAACGCUGGCGGCGUGCCUAAUACAUGCAAGUCGAGCGAAUGGAUUAAGAGCUUGCUCUUAUGAAGUUAGCGGCGGACGGGUGAGUAACACGUGGGUAACCUACCCAUAAGACUGGGAUAACUCCGGGAAACCGGGGCUAAUACCGGAUAAUAUUUUGAACUGCAUAGUUCGAAAUUGAAAGGCGGCUUCGGCUGUCACUUAUGGAUGGACCCGCGUCGCAUUAGCUAGUUGGUGAGGUAACGGCUCACCAAGGCGACGAUGCGUAGCCGACCUGAGAGGGUGAUCGGCCACACUGGGACUGAGACACGGCCCAGACUCCUACGGGAGGCAGCAGUAGGGAAUCUUCCGCAAUGGACGAAAGUCUGACGGAGCAACGCCGCGUGAGUGAUGAAGGCUUUCGGGUCGUAAAACUCUGUUGUUAGGGAAGAACAAGUGCUAGUUGAAUAAGCUGGCACCUUGACGGUACCUAACCAGAAAGCCACGGCUAA